GUGCUCGCUUUGGCAGCACAUAUACUGAAAUUGGAACAAUACAGAGAAGGUUAGCAUAGCCCCUGCACAAGGAUGGCAUGCAAAUUCAUGAAGCGUCCCAUAUUAAA
ensembl:snRNA U6 U6 spliceosomal RNA